AUACAACAUCCAUCAUCCAUGAUAUCUCUUAUAAGUCCAGGGAGCUGCUAGGCAGUGAGCAACCUAGCCUGAGAUCCCAAUAAGAGACUGGGGAAUUGAAUACAGCAUCCAGCAAGACAUGGUGGUGAUCCCUGGCUCUAAGUCUUCAUGAUUAAGUGACUCUUUUGCACAACACAAAGGCCUUGCCCUACACAUCUGGGAGCCAACAUCUAUCAGCAGGCAUUCUUGCUCACCACCUAGAAGCAGAGUCAGACCUGGAAGCAGCCUAUUUCAGACCAGUAGCCCGGAC
rnacentral:lncRNA from 1 species